rnacentral:rRNA from 1 species
UACGUAGGGUGCGAGCGUUGUCCGGAUUUAUUGGGCGUAAAGGGCUCGUAGGCGGCGUGUCGCGUCGGGGAGUGAAAGCCCGUUGCUUAACGGCGGGUUGGCUUUCGGUACGGGCAUGCUGGAGUGCGGCAGGGGAGACUGGAAUUCCUGGUGUAGCGGUGGAAUGCGCAGAUAUCAGGAGGAACACCGGUGGCGAAGGCGGGUCUCUGGGCCUUACCUGACGCUGAGGAGCGAAAGCGUGGGGAGCGAACAGG